CUCUGUGACUCCUACGGGAGGCAGCAGUGGGAAUAUUGGACGAAUGGACCAAAAGUCUGAUCCAGCAAUUCUGUGUGUUUGAUGAAGGCCUUCGGGGUUGUAAAGAACUUUCAGUGGGGAAGAAGCAAGUGACGGUACCCACAGAAGAAGCGACGGCUAAAUACGUGCCAGCAGCCGCGGUAAUACGUAUGUCGCAAGCGUUAUCCGGAAUUAUUGGGCAUAAAGGGCGUCUAGGCGGUCUAAUAAGUCUGAUGUGAAAAUGCGGGCUCAACUCCGUAUUGCGUUGGAAACUGUUAGACUAGAGUUUUGGAGAGGUAGGCGGAACUACAAGUGUAGAGGUGAAAUUCGUAGAGAUUUGUAGGAAUGCCGAUGACGAAGGUAGCUUACUGGACAAAUACUGACGCUGAAGCGCGAAAGCUAGGGGAGCAAACAGGAUUAGAUACCCUGUAG
rnacentral:rRNA from 1 species